AAGGUCCCCACCUUUGUUUAUCUUUCAUCCCUCAUUAUCCUCAAGUUGUCCACAAUCAUGCUUAUCUUUCACCCUUUUGAGGAUAUUGGAUGAUGAAAGACAAACAAAGGUGGGAACAA
rnacentral:pre_miRNA from 1 species